rnacentral:lncRNA from 1 species
CAACUUAUUCAACGUUGUUUACAAAUGAAAUCAGAAAAGCGGCAAAUCAAGAAACUUCUCAUUAAAACAGAUCUUACAAUAUCUUGAAAGAGAACGUACCUAAUUACGGAAGGACGAGAUUUAGAAGACAAAAAAGCCAAAUAACGAUUGAAACAAAAAAUUGGAGCUCAGCUAGCAACGUGGGAGCAACAACAACCAAACAACUCCACUUUCCGAGUUAUAUCCAAACCCUAACCCCAGCUAAACACUCUAAUUUUGAGCUUUUCGAGUGAUGAAAAAGUUCAUUGAAGGCUCAGCUCUCCAAUUGAAUUUUUAAGCUACUUUCAAUUCUCAACAGCUUUCGUUUCUGUAUUUUUUGAGAGAAAUGCAGUGUAAUAUGAAGAGAGAUUUGUGUGCUCGAGAGAAAAGCAAAAGAAGCGGCUGAGUUUUUCGUUUUGAUGAGGAAGAAGAUCAAGAGCCAAAGGAAUCCUUCUGCGUCGUUCUUCUAUAUGCGUCCAUCUCUCAUUUUUUUAGCUCCCCUUCAGAUAAUGUGUAUUUAGGCUAUAUAGAGGGGAAGGGUUAAUGGGUCAAUAGUCUGGGCUAGGUAGGUAUAAGGUAAUUGGACCAUUGGGUUAAAUUGACUUGGGUUAUGAGAAUUAAAACGAAGCAGCCCGAAAUAUGAUUUCUCUACUUCUUUUUCUUUUUAAUUUUUCUUUCUUUUUCUAAUUUAUUUUAAGUAAAAAUUAAAAUUGACACCCAAAUUAAUUCCUAAUCAAAUUAUUUUAUCAAAUUAAAUUAACUAACUCCAAAUAUUAACUACCAUAAAUAAUUAAGAACCAAAUUAAAGGAAAAACCAUCAAAGUUCAAAAAUUUAAAUUAAAAGUACAAAAAUAACUAUUUUUGUGAUUUUUCAGAUUCUUAUAAAAUAACUAAUUUACUACUUAAUUUAAAAAUGUAAAGUUAAACCCUAAAUGCAAAUGCAGCAUAUUUUUGUAUUUUUUCAUUAAUUAAAUAAGAUAAACAUGCACAGACAAAUGCAAACAAUUGACAGAAAAUGCCACAAAAAUCCACGAAAUGGCAAACAAUGGAAAAAAAUUAUUUUGUUUUGAAUUUGUGGGAGUAAUUCAUAUAGGGCAAAAAUCACGUGCUCGCAGCUGCCCUUCUUUGCACAGAAACACGAAGAGUUUUCGUGCAAAGAUAAAGUGAGCGGAUACGAGCGAUUUUUGCCCGUUUGAAUACUUCGUGGGAAGCAUUUUUGAAAGAUUUGACCGCACCGUGCUCCAGAAGUUGUCUACAUAUCCUUGGCUAUAAAGGAAUCAGGUCAGUGUAGUUCGGAAAGUUUUGGUAGCUGGGACUACCAUGAAGCUGUGAUUUCACUGUUGCUGCUGCUGAUGCUACUGCUUACUGAACUCCUUAUUACACCAUGACAAAAUAAAACAAGCUAUACUAAACUAUGAUAUAUGCAUUACCAUAAUCCUAUCUAUAUCUUCAAACUUGAUCUUGCAGUUACUGUUUCUUUGUCGUCCCGUACUAUCCACGUGAAAUUCCUUUGUUGCUAACUUGAAUUGUAUUCUGAGAUGCUUUUCCUUUUCUCUAGGUGGAUGCUUGACUGCUGAACUUGACCGUCUUCCUUCGAACAUUGCUUCUUUCCCUUCGUUCUUCAGGCGGGCUCCUGAUUAUCAACACUUAAAUUGCAGCUUUGUUCUCUAGGUGGGUUCCUGAUUACCGACACUUGAAUUGCUUUAUUCUACAGAUGGGCUCCUGAUUGCUGAACUUGAACUAUAUUCCCGUGCUCUCCAGGUGGGCGCCUGAUUGCUGAACUUGAAUUGUAUUCCCGUGGUCUCCAGGUGGGCGCCUGACUGCUGAACUCGAAUUGUAUUCCCGUGCUCUCCAUGUGGGCGCCUGAUUGAUGAACUUAAAUUGUAUUCCCGUGCUCUCCAAGUGGGCGCCUGAUUGCUGAACUCGAACUACUUCUCCCUGUUCUCCAAGUGGGCGCUUGAUUUCAACAAAAUAGACAAAACAAAGAAAAUUUUCUGCCCCAGUAUGGUAGCUGGGCACAUCUGUGAGUGUUAAACUGAAUCAUGUUACCAAACAUUAUCAAGAAUUUGAAAGCUAGAUCCCGUUAUCCAGGAGGGUCCUGAUAACUCCUAUUUAAAUGACAAUUUUAAAGCUAAAUUAUGUCUUCUGAAGGAAUGUCUUAUGCUAAGUCUUGUUAUCCAAGCAAGUUUUAAAACUACAUCCCAUUAUCCAGGAGGGUCCUGAAAACUCCUAAUUGAGUCCUAUCUUAAACAUGCAAACUUUGAAGCCAACUUAUAUUCCUUUGGGGUACAUUUAUGAUAGAUUAUGAUACUCAUGAUUGUUUUGAAUUUUAAACUAGGUCCCAUUUUCUAGGAGGGUCCUGAAAAUUUAUGGUCAAACAUGUUUGGUGCUUGCUUUUCCUUACGGAGGGUUUGUUCGAAACAAACGAAAUUUUCUUCCACUGUUUCAAUCAAAGAAAAAUCUUAUUAUUUUAAAAUGCGGUGGUUGGUUUAUGGCCUUGACUUUGAGGGCGAUUGCUCCUCCACUUCCCAUGAUAACUUUGAAUUCCACUCGAAGACCUUGCUAACCACUUUCUAUGUCAUACUUAUCACAGAAAAUACCUCUUCUUCAUUCAGACCCAAUACCCUAUAUCUGUUGCAUUGCUCAUAAACUGACAUUUACCAAACCUUUGUAUCUCACAUGAAUGCCAAAGCACGUCAAUUGCCACCCACUCAGUGCGUAUGCUGUUCUUUCUUGACUUAAACCACUGGCCUUGGCCUUGAGGUCUAUUGCACCUUCACUUGCCAUGUUCGCUUUGAUUUCUGCUUGGAAGAACUUGCCUGUCACUAGUUAGCCACUUUCUUUGUCAAUCUAAUCACAGAGAAUACCUUUUAUCUGUUCACCCUAACCCUCCAUCCGUUGCAUUGUUCAAGAAUUGAUAUAUACCAAGCCUUUGUAUUUCACAAGAAUCCCAAAGCAUGUUGAUUGUUACAAACUCAGUGCGCUUGCUGUUCUUUCCUAACUUAUGCUACUUUGAUGUGCCAGCCAGAUCUUGUUUUGUGCAAUUGGAAAGCUGGUGGCAANNNNNNNNNNNNNNNNNNNNNNNNNUUUUGACCAAACAGACUCAGGAAGAGGAAGUAAACAAGACAAAAGGAACAGAGUAAAGGACAAAGGAAAGAGGUGAUUCCUAACAAGUAAACAACAAAGUAGAAACCUAUCAGAUGUGGAUACCAACUCUAAUGACCAUGACAUGCACCUGUGGCCUAUUCUGUUGAGCAAGUCUGAUGUUCAACUCCUGUCAUACCCCUAAACCGUGAAACUGGGCUUCAAUGCUCCGAUUACCCAAUAUGAUUCAUAAUCCUUAUUCGACUUGUAGUGCCCGAAGAGUUUUUACCAUCAAGCCUCUCUAAUUUUGUUCUUUCUCUCAACUUACCGUCGCCUUACGGUACUAGUGAGGGUUUUCACCAAUAAGACUCUCAUUUUUGAUUUCCCUCAACUCCCGUCGCCUUACGGUGCCCGUGAGGGUUUUAACCAUUAAGACUCUCUCAUUUUCAUUACUUUUCUGCCUGGACCAGAGUGUUGCUCCUGAUAUGAAUUACUUCUCCUUGCUUGACUUGACAUCUCUCGAAGAUUGAUCGGAAGGUCUUUCUUUGGACCGUAACGUGGGCUUUUGGAUAUGAUUAAAAAGAAAGGAUAUCAAAGGCUCAAAACAAUUCACAUGGGUUAAAAAUUACAACUUUUGGAAUCAGAUUUCUUACAACAACCACAACUUCUAUCCUAGUUUCUUGCUUGGGGACUUUUGGAUUUUUAUUUUGAUGGGACCGAACCGUGAGGCUGCCUACGUAUCCUUAAAAGGAAUCAGGUCGAACGUAGUUCAUGUCAUAUGAAUUGCUUUGUUGUUGUGAUUUUUUUUUCUCUUUCUCUUUUAUUUUCUUUUCUUUCUUCCUUUUUCUCUUUUUGUUGUUUUGUUGGUUUUUCUUUAUUCUUUUUCCUUUUUUCGUCUUUUUUUUUUCUUCUUUCUUUUUUUCCAAUUUUCAUAUUUUCUUUUCUCUCUUUUCCUUUACUUAUCUUUCGCGCUUGCGUUUCUGAUCUUUGCUACCGAUUCCAAAAGAGGGGUACGAAAGGUAGUAAAUAAGGCACAAAUGGGGUAACAAAGGAUAAAGUGUUUAUAUAGCAGAACAAAAUGACUUCGUCAUUCUAAUCUUCAAAGCAUGCCAGAUGCAAACGGCACAAUAAAACAAACCAAAGAAAUCACACAUAAUAUCUUUUGACUGCAUCAGAAUUGAUAGCCAUAUCCACACAUUUGCCUUCUACAUUUGUUAAGUACAAAGCACCAUUGGACAACACUCUCACUCUCAUUACCACUAACGGCUCCUGUCAAUUUGGGCAAACUUGUCUUUAGCUUCAAUCCAAUGCGGCAUGAUGCAUUUCAAUAGGGUUUCUUUAUGUUCUAUCUGCCUCAGUUUCACACAAUUCGGGCUUGAACUGAUCUCAACAUGCCUUUACUUAUUUCCCUGAAAUGUCCCUACAUCUUCAACAUUGUUCCACUGCUUCGUGAUUAAAUUAACUUUUAAAAUCGGGAUGAGAAUUACGCAUGCAUGUCAUGUCACUAGAGUCAACAGGAAAAGAACUAUAAAAAGAAAAUAGAACUAAACGAAAAUGACUAGAAAUCACAGAAAAUAGAAAAUUGCAUUAGACAGAUGGUGAAAGGGUUUGGACAACAAAACAAACAAACUAAAUGGGGGUUACAAACCUAGAACAAAACUAGACAACACUAAACGGGCUACUACAACUAAACAAACUACGCAAAAUAAAAGGAUAGAAGGGUUUGAGUCACAAGACAAUAUCCGGACUACAACCCUUAAAUAACCCGGACAGCAGAAAUGACAACAAAAUAAACCACCAAAACUCCUCCCUGGCUAACCAAGAAAAAAGCGUCUUUCCAAUCAUCGAAAUUAACAUCUUAGCCACUGACUUCUGCAUCAACAAUACUAGGACCUUCACAAGUCUCCAUCACAUUGUUCUUAACAGAUUGCCUUUGGGUUCCCUUUGCCUGCUCGUUCUUAGGAUCAACCUCUAAUAGCGCUGAAAGCUUCGUAGCACGUGGACCUCCGAGGAUCCCAGAAGAAUUCUCACAUUCCUUUCAAAAAUAUAUCUUACCCACCAUAUGCGUCUCAUUAUGCACAAGUGACGGACUUUGACUAGUGUCUACUGCAUCUGGAUUUUGCACGAUAAUGUCCCUUGCAUCAAUAAGCUUCUGAAUCGCAUUCUUCAGAUUCCAAUACUUCUCUAUGUCAUUCCCCGGGGCAUAUGAGCAAUAUGCACACCUUUGAGAAAAAUCAAACUUCUUUGUAAGAGGAUUUGGCAUUUUUAUCUGGAUCGGCUUCAACAUGUCCAAUUUCCUUAGCCUCUAGAACAGACUAGCAUAUGACUCUCCAAAUGGAGUGAAGGUUUUUUUCUUCCGCAACCUCUCAUUCUUAAAUGCUUGAUUGGGAUGUAAACAUUAUCCAAGGGGGUUUCAGUAAGCUCGUGGGGGCGGGUAAGACAUUUGGGGAAAUGGUGUGGGCCAUCACGGUCCUUAUGGGUGUGGAGCAUAUGGUGGUGCAUUGUGGACAGGGUACUGGGAAAGUGAUGUACAACUUUGGGAGUUUUGUGAAGAGAAGUAGCAUUGGGGAGGCUCAUCUGGUGCACAAGGAUAUCCACGGGGACGAUGUCGAGGUUGGAAGUGUUGAGCAAGAAAGCCCAUCGGAUCAUCUUUUCUAUUUCUCUUUCUUCCACCCAAACUUACUGGGAUGUUCUGAAUGCCUUUCGUAGUAUCUUUCAAUGCCGAAUAACUCAUGAUUUUGCCUGACUUGAUUCCCUCUUCUACCAUCUCCCCCAUUAUUAACACAUCAUUGAAAGGCUUACCCAAGGCCGGGAUCAAAUGACUGAAGUAGGUGGGCCCCUGGGCUUGUAGGAAAAACUCAACCAUUUCUUUUUCACCAAUCGGGGGACUGACUUGAGCAGCUUGCUCCCUCCAUCUGAGCCCAAACUCCCUAAAGCUUUCCUCCAGCUUUUUUUUCAUUCUAGAUAGUGAAGAGCGGUCUGGGGUAACGCCUAAUUUGUAUUGAAAGUAUCGAAUAAAAUCUUGAGCCAUGUCACCCAAUGUAGGCCAAUUACCAACAUCUUGAUGAUUGUGCCAUUCCAAAGCUGCCCCAGUCAAGCUCUCACCAAAAUACGCCAUCAACAAAUCAUCUUUCUCGCCAUCACUUAUCAUUUUACUACAAAAGACCCUCAAAUGGGCUACCGGAUCCCCACGCCCAUCCUACAAGUUAAAUUUUGGCACUUUAAAUCCCAUGGAAAGGCAAACGUCAGGGGACACAGACAGUUCUUUAUAAGCCAUGCUACCCUAGUCUCCCAUUCCUCGCUUGUUCUCUAAGGACUGUCCUAUGCCUUUUAGCCUCCUGGGUAUCCCAUCUCGCCCUUCUCUUCCUGUGAACUUUUCAUUUUCAACGUGAGGCUCAUCCCGAAGGCCCUACUUGUAUGAGUUGGGGACCUUGUGGGCAACCUCUGAGGGAUAAUGUUGGGCAUAAUGAGCUUUGAGUUGGUGUUCAAUGUUGGGGAUAGUGCAUGUUAUAGGAGUGCACUUUUGGGAAAAGAUAGUUGGAAGACGAGUGAUGGAGCUACUAGGGUGGCUGGGAAAGCUGUGAUAAGCGGGUGGAUCUGGAGAGUAUGGAGGAUCAUCUGACAUUGGGUUCGGAGUUUGGGUAAGGGCAACAUCUAGGAAGCUAGGUGGUGGCGGGGGUGGUGCCUUCCCAGUCAUCCAAGCCUGAUACAUGUCCGCCAUUUGUUGUCUAAACAUAUUUACCUCUUCAACCAACUCAUUGUCCUAUUCAAACAACUGCUUCCGGGCACCGGUAUCAACCAACUCAGUUCUGUUGUUGUCUGCCAUUGCCUUUUGACUUUAUGUUUUAAAGAAGAGUUACCACUUUAAAAACCACAAACCAACCAACUUUCUGCUAUGAAUAUAACUAAAUAAAGCCAUCACGUUAUCGUUAGGGCAUUUAACAUAAGAUAAUCUCACGUUAUGUGCAAUGCACCUAGCCACAGUUAUCGGUUCUAAAGUGACUUUGAGGGUACGAAGGUCAGUUGGCAUCAUCCCAUUUUGUUCAUUUCAAUCCCCUCUUUUCUUUGCUUUUCUAUCACUUUCUUGAUCAUUUUCCUUCCUCUUUUUCUAAUUACACUAUUUUCUUUCCUUCAUUUCUCACAUCCCACAAUUUCAUCUCUUUUUUUUUUCUCUCUUUUCUCCUUUUUUUCUUUUCUUUUAAUAGUAAAAAAAUGAUUCGAUCGAACCCUAUGUAGGUUUCUUACGCAUCAUGACGCCGCAUGAAUCAAAUCUCUGUGUAGUUCUGGAAGAACGGGAAUAAAGUAAACAAACUAACGUUCUUUUUUCUUUUCUAAUUUUCUUUUACCUUAAGGACUACUCUGAUGAGAAGAGAGAAAUAAAAGAAGCAAAUCCNNNNNNNNNNNNNNNNNNNNNNNNNUUAACGAGCAUAUAUUUCUUACUUUUUUUCUUUUUGAAACAAACACUCUAUGGGAAAUUAUUAAGGAAAACCCUAGAAGAGAAAAAAACAUUUUUGAUUCUUUUUUUUAGGAAGAAGAUCGAAAGAAUAAACCAUAUAAAAAUAUUUUGAAUUCUCAUUUGAUAUCCUGAUGCAGGAUUUUGAAACAAGCAAUGAAAAAGAUAAAACAACAUGUUUUUGGAUUUCAAUUUGGUUGCCUAAAGAAAGAAACUUUAAACAAAAGAUAAAAUAUGUUUUUUUUCUAUGUACAAUUUCCUAAAGUUCUUGGGAAAAUAAAAGAAUAUUUUUUUUCAUUUUUCAUUAAGUUCCCAAAGAAGAACCUCAAAAGAAAAUCUUUUUGGAUUUUUGAGAUUAAUGCCUUAAAGAAAACUUUUAAAAAAGUACUAAAAGGAAUUGUUUUUUGAAUUUUGGUCAUAAUAUAGUAAAGGAAAUAUAAAAAUAAUUUUUAUUAAAAUCCUAGAUAUUAUUUUCCUAAAGGAAAAACCACCUCAAAAAUAUCUUUUUUCAUUCCUACAAUUAGUAUUCUAAAGAAAAUUCCUAACGGAAAUAUAAAACACAAUAUUUUAAUUUUUUUUUUGGAUUUUUGAUUCAUUACACACCCUUUCAAAUGCAAAAUAGAAAGUAAAAUAAUAAUAAUAAAGCUCGACAUUACUAUACAAAACUAAAAGGUAAAAGACGAUAUAAAAUAAAAAAAACAGGCUCAAAACAUAAAAAGAAAAGAAAAUCUUCUUUUAAUCCACUCCCAAAUGAGCGAUCCUGACUAGAUGUCCUAGGGCUCUGUCAUGCUCAAACUCCGAUAAGUAAAUCCACGUCUGUAUGAGAAAAUUAAAACCAAAUAUGUUAAAGACCUAGAGCGCUAUGUGAGACAAUAACCCUUCCUACUGGAAACAUGCAAGACAUGAUUUAGGCUAUUUUUGCAAAAUGACAUAUUUGGCCAAAAGACAGCUAGAAGUGCAAAAUUUUGGCUAAGACCCCGCAAAGCCAAGAACCUAAGAUUUACUAGGAAGACCGGACCCUAUGUGGGUUGCCUACGUAUCACGCCCCGAAAGACGAGAAUCAGGUAUGCGUAGUUGAGGCAGAUUGGAUACGGGCGAGAAUUAAAAAAAAACAACUAAUUUAGAGAAAACAUAUUUUUUGUCUUCUUUUUUUUUAAAAGAAAAAUGAUGAGACAAGUAGAUUUUUUUGGAUUUUUUCUUUUUCUUUUUUUUUGAUUUUCUGAUUUACGGAAAAUGAUGAAAAAGUGCAAAAUCUCUUUUUUUUUUGAAUUUUCAAGCUCUUUUUUUUCUCUUAACAAGAAUGUGACAGAAAAUAUAAUCGGGCCCCACUCGCUUUAUCUUCACACUUCAACAUCUUUUUCUUUUUCUUUUUUCUUUUUCAUUUGCCCUCAACUAUUAUUGGUCCGCCAAAUGACCCUUUUACCCUUAAAGAAAUGCAACAUGUAGCACAUAGGAUGCAUCAAGAUGGUCUGUUAUUUUGAGNNNNNNNNNNNNNNNNNNNNNNNNNCUAGGUUCAAAACCUGGGUAUGUGUUCUAGAAUGUGUACCCGAGCGGACAACUCGAGUCGAGGAGGGGGCUACGAAUCGGGAACCAAAAGGCCAUCCAGCUUAGUAACUUGUCCGAACCUCUUUCUUAUUUCAAGGUAUGACACUAACAGAAUAGGGAGUCACAACCAGCGUGCACAUCCCCAAAGAUGAGAAGAGAAGGUUUCGUAGCAGUUUAUAUACGGUUCAGAUAAUAUCAAAGCAGGUAAAAACAACAUUUAGCACAUUAGGCCCAAACAUGUAAUAAAAUCAGAUAACAGAUAAAACAAAAUAUAACAAUUCAUCUAAGCUCGAAUUCUGAACCCUGAACCAGGGAUUUUGGGUUCGAUCCCCAGCAUAGUCGCCAGAGUUAUCACACCUCCUUUUUCACUACACCCCUUGUAAAUGGGGUGUAUAAGGGUGUUUUUUCAAUUUAAGUGACAAUCGAAACGAGAUUUAUUUAUUUAAAGUAUUCAGAGUCGCCACUUGGGAUAAUUUUAUGGUGUACCAAGUCACCGGUUCAAAUCCCGAAUCGAGGAAAGAAUGACUCUGUAUUAUAGUCCGCGAAUCAGAAAUCCGGGUAAGGAAUUCUGUUAACCCGGGAGAAGGUGUUAGGCAUUCUCGAGUUUCGUGGUUCUAGCACGACCGCUCAACUGUUAUUAUUGGCUUAUUAUUUGACUUUAAACACUUUCAAGCCUAUGUACAUUUCUAACUUUAAACCGCUUUUAAUUCAUUUUAGGAGGAUUUCAACGUUAUACAAAACACAUCUUUGGAUCACGGAAUAUUAAAUGCGCCCGCGAUCCGCGACAUAUUUUAUUAAUUUUGUUAGAAUUUGGAUUUAAGUCACAUGAAAUGCACACCCGACUCUAAGGAAAUUAAUUAUUAAAAUAACGCGGCUAAAGCAACUACGCGUUUGCAACUUUGCGAGGGCCAUGGAAAUUCAACUAGGUGGCACGCCUCGAAUUCUAAGAAUCAAAAAAAAAAAUUAAUUAAACGAGGGCCAUGCAAUUGUCAUUUUUGUUCGGCACAACACACCUCGGUUUAUUCUAAUCAAGAGGUUUCUAAAUUAAAUUACGAGAGUCAUACUAUUUGUAUUGUCUAAUAUAGCACACCUCCAAUCUACUUGUGUUUUUUUUUAUUUCCUAUCCCACUCAAAAAUUCCAAAGACCCAAGCUUAUCUUUUGAUUCAGAAUUUCACACCCAUUACUCUAAUUCCAUUUUAAAAAUACUUGAGUUCACUGCCUAUUUUGAUUUUGAUUUUUCAAUUAUUUCUAGCAACAAAACCAAUGCCGCUAACAAGAAAUCAUCGUCCAUAUAAACAAAAGCAAAACCAAAUUUCAUAUCCACCCUAUCAACCUUGCCAUAUCUUUUGAAAAGCUUUCCUUGGCUUAUGCAUCCAAAUUUACAGUACAUGUCAAUAAGCGAGGAAAUCAAAAAGGCAUUGGAUAUAUUUCCAAUAUUAAUCACUUGCGCAUGGGAUACUUCUUUGGUCAAGCACAACGAAAAUACCUCUUAGAACAACCAAAAUGACGAUUUUAGAGUAUGAAUGACAUGUUGGAUAGUACAGCUAACAAUGCUAAAUUAUGCUCUCAAGGAGAAAAUCUGAUCUAAGAAACCAUGGAAACAAACAGUGGCAUGUAGCUCCUUAAACAUUCGGAUAAUUUGUCUUUCACUUAGAAAUCUAAAAAAAUCGAAAGAUCUUCACAAUUUGGUUACAUAUAUAAAUCAGUUGAAGGAAAGCAAAUUAACAAUGCUGAAAAUCCCAUUUCUCUAAAAAUUGUGAAGUAUCAAACUCUAUGUCAUCCUUAAGAUCGACUCGGAAUCGUAUUUGCCAAAAAUGAAGAUUUUAUAUAUAACUUCCCAAUAACUUUUCAAUUAACAUGAAGCAGAAUCUUAACAUUAAAGGGUCGGGAUAUGAAGACAGCUCAAACAGCAAAAUCCAGUUAGAUAGGGAAUCUGCCACGACAAACUUGAAUUAACCUUUCGAACACUGUUAGCAUUUACAAUAUUUCGAAAUCAGGCAACUCAUUCAACAUUGUUCACAAAUAAAAUCAGAAAAAUGGCAAAUCAAGGAACUUCUCAUUAAAACAGAUCUUAGAAUAGCUUGAAAGAGAACGUACCUAAUUACGCAAGGACGAGAUUUAGAAGACAAAGAAGCCAAAUAACGAUUGAAACAAAAAAUUGGAGCUCAGCUAGCAACGUGGGAGCAACAGCAGCCAAACAACUCCCCUUUCCGAGUUAUAUCAAAACCCAAAACCCAGCUAAGCACUCCAAUUUCGAGCUUUUCGAGUGAUGAAAAAGUUCUUUGAAGGCUCAGCUCUCCAAUUGAAUUUUUAAGCUACUUUCAAUUCUCAACAGCUUUUCGUUACUGUAUUUUUUGAGAGAAAUGUAGUGUAAUAUGAAGAGAGAUUUGUGUGCUCGAGAGAAAAGCAAAAGAAGCGGCUGAGUUUUUCGUUUUGAUGAGGAAGAAGAUCAAGAUCCAAAGGAGUCCUUCUGCGCCGUUCUUCUAUAUGCGUCCCUCUCUCAUUUUUUAGCUCCCC